rnacentral:rRNA from 1 species
AGUAACGGCGAGUGAAGCGGUAAUAGCUCAAAUUUGAAAUCUGGCCUCUUUGGGGUCCGAGUUGUAAUUUGUAGAGGAUGUUUCGGGUACCGCCUCGGUUUAAAUUUCUUGGAACAGAAUGUCAAAGAGGGUGAGAAUCCCGUCUUGGACCGGCGGUAGGGCCCAUGUGAAACUCCUUCGACGAGUCGAGUUGUUUGGGA